GAUCAUGGCUCAGGACGAACGCUGGCGGCGUGCUCAACACAUGCAAGUCGAACGCUGAAGCCUAGCUUGCUGGGUGGAUGAGUGGCGAACGGGUGAGUAACACGUGAGUAACCUGCCCUCUUCUUUGGGAUAACGCCCGGAAACGGGUGCUAAUACUGGAUAUUCACUGGCCUUCGCAUGGGGGUUGGUGGAAAGGUUUUUCUGGUGGGGGAGUGGGCUCGCGGCCUAUCAGCUUGUUGGUGGGGUGA
rnacentral:rRNA from 1 species